ACACCUGGAUGUGCUCACUCAACCAAGAAUAUAGAGAAAGAGCUUCUGCCCUGAGACUCAGAAAAAUAUUCUCCUGUGCUUUGGUUCAGUAUAGAUUUCUAAACCCUGAUCAUUGCUUAAGAGAUAUUCACUGAGGGUCCUACGUCUCUGCAAUUUGUGUAUGAAUAACAGAAUAAUUUCCCUCUUUUGUUUCGCCUUUCCUGUUCCUGAAUCUAAAUAAAGAUGGCUUUUUAGUAUUAAAAGUGGAAGAAAAUUACAGUUGCUGAGACAAAGGAAAACCCACUCCCUUGGAGGAGCAUGACCUUUUCCUGUAAUUCUUCCCACUGCUGUUGUUGAGCUCCUUGGAUCCUGGCUCCUGGACACCAUCAUCAAGAAGACUUUAUGGAUGGGCUGUCCACCCACUGAGAGAAGAGGAGCAUCAGCUACAGUUUCUCUCUAGAUUGCCUUCUUCAUUUUGAGUAAUGACUGUCAGCAGGGUCAGAUUAAACACAAAACAACUGGACAAUUGCUUGGAGGACUAAACUAUAAGGGCACUAACAUGUCAAUAGUAGGCUAACACAUCCAUGGAAAAUAUAUUUACCAGCUCUUCUCUCAGGGAGGAUUCUGUGUGGGGUUGGAAGUAAUGAUUUGUUAAAUUCCUUAGGGG
rnacentral:lncRNA from 1 species